AUUGAACGCUGGCGGCAGGCCUAACACAUGCAAGUCGAACGAGUGGCGGACGGGUGAGUAAUGUCUGGGAAACUGCCUGAUGGAGGGGGAUAACUACUGGAAACGGUAGCUAAUACCGCAUACCAUCAGAUGUGCCCAGAUGGGAUUAGCUAGUUGGUGGGGUAACGGCUCACCAAGGCGACGAUCCCUAGCUGGUCUGAGAGGAUGACCAGCCACACGGGACCUGUGACCCGGUCCAGACUCCUACGGGAGGCAGCAGGGGGGAAUAUUGCACAAUGGGCGCAAGCCUGAUGCAGCCAUGCCGCGUGUAUGAAGAAGGCCUUCGGGUUGUAAAGUACUUUCAGCGAGGAGGCGUUACUCGCAGAAGAAGCACCGGCUAACUCCGUGCCAGCAGCCGCGGUAAUUC
rnacentral:rRNA from 1 species